rnacentral:misc_RNA from 1 species
UCCGAGUUGACCCCGGCAGUCUCAUAUGAGUCCCCACCAUAACGUGCUGGCAACAUACGACAAGGGUUGCGCUCGUUGCGGGACUUAACCCAACAUCUCACGACACGAGCUGACGACAACCAUGCACCACCUGUAACCGAGUGUCCAAAGAGCUCCCUAUCACUAGGGCAUUCCCGGUCAUGUCAAGCCUUGGUAAGGUUCUUCGCGUUGCAUCGAAUUAAUCCGCAUGCUCCGCCGCUUGUGCGGGCCCCCGUCAAUUCCUUUGAGUUUUAGCCUUGCGGCCGUACUCCCCAGGCGGGGCGCUUAAUGCGUUAGCUACGACACAGAAACCGUGGAAAGGCCCCCACAUCUAGCGCCCAACGUUUACAGCAUGGACUAC